GUCUCCGAUCUCCUCACAACAUUCACUGAAUGUUCUGUGGUCGUUCGAAAUUUACGACUCUUUCUACUCCUGAAUGUAGUCACCGGUGGUUCCGUGGCCACCGAGCUCCUCGGCUGAUUGGUUGGCCUAACCGCAGGUAGUUUAAGAAGCGUAUUCAACAAUUCUUCCUUCUCCUUCUGCAUCGUUUUGUUCGUUAGAUCAGUACAAUGCUGUACCAGCAAGAGGACCAAUUGCCUGACCGUUUCAUUAUUAUCAGCCUGCUUCAUCACCCUCAUCAAGUGGACGGUAAGGCGGAAGUGACGAGGCUCUCCUGAGGCAGGGAAUUGGUGGACGUGAUGGAAGAAGUUAUGGUGGUGGUGAUACUGGACCUUGUGAUUCUUCAAGGAAUUCAACAUACUCAACGCGUGCUCCCUCUCGGAGAAACGUGGACUUGGUUUGACCUUGCUCAGGGUGGUCGGAGCAGGAUACUUCAGCUUUGGUACCAGGGUCUUAGCCGAGGUGUAUGCGGGCACUGUAGGAGUGUACGGAGUGGGCUUCAACGUGGUAGCAUUACUGGUAACAUAGUUCCUGGUGAACGGUACAUAUGGGCCCAAAGUGGACAUCACUUUACCCUGUUUGUUUCUCCGUGGUUGUGCUGAUGAAAUUCUGCCGGUACUCUGGCGAAACCGUGGAGGGAUUCUUACUGGAGACUCGGUGCUGCGUUCGAAGUUGCUACCGCGAACCGAGGCUGUGGGUGAAGUUGCAAAUGGACUGCUAGUGAAUCUUUGGUAAGAAGAACUCGGAGUCGCCGUAUUCUGUCGAAAUAAAAGACGCAAGAACCCCAAGAGGCAAUUCGGUUUUUCAAUUGAGGAAAUGUUGAACGUCGGAUCGUAAUAGAGCAGCACCUUAUGAAACAUCCUGUUCACGAAUAUAUAUGUCGUACACAUACGUGGAAGACUUUCGGUCGCUGCGACGGUGACGGGAAGCCAGACUCAACGCGGCGGGAGAGAAGCGGAAGUGCAUAAGACUCCUACCGCGUUUCGGUAUCGCGGCUAUCGUGUCCUAUGAUGACCCUAAGCCGACGAGAAUCCGCCCGCGUUUAACGAUCUCAACUGUAGAAGAAAGGUCAUUUGGGGCCACUCACCGACGCCUUUACCAUCGGUGAAGAUCGUCAGAUAUCUCAGAACGGAAUCUGAUUGCCGUCCUCGUGGCAAGAGAUCUUAGAAAGCGGCGAACCGACUAGCAACCGAUAUUGAGUCAUGUCGAGACGAAUUGCGAGCCUUCCGCAAGACGAUCCCCAUCAAAAGAUGCGUUUCUCUUGCAAUCCAUCGGUAUUUAAAUUAAAUAGAAAAACUAGCCGACCAACAAUAUCCAUCAGGUAGGAAUAUUUCUGACACCGCCCCUGUAUAAUUUCAGACGAAAAUUAUCCAUUCGAAAAAAUGAUAAAUGUCGAAACAUUCAACGCCACUGUGAUUAUCCUUGAUGAGAGGAAAAAGAGACUUGUCAUUUUCCUAAUGAUAAACAAUUGACGGUUUAAGAUUGCUUUUACCGCGGUAAUCAAGGAGCAUUCGAGCCGACCACUUUCCCGGGAUAUUAAUAACCACUUUUAGCUGAAAUACAUUAGGAGUUGUAUUAAGAUUAAAGACACCCGGUAUUGUAUUUAAGAAAUAUCUCUUCAAAAAUGAUCAUUUUUAAUAUGAAUUUUAGACGGUGACGAAUAUUUUCAUAAAAAUGAAAAGAACCGAAAGUUGUCAAGAUGAAACUAGAAUUUAAUGGACUCAUCGAGUUGCGUGUCAUCAUCGCUGGAGACGGAAGCGAAACGAGCGACUUGUAGGAUUUAUUGAACGGCCGUUGAUCCGGAAGACGAGGCCACUUUCGCCGGGAGAACAGCGAACCUGUACGUACGUCGGCUUACCUACGACCUCACAGGACACUUGCCUUCUCUUCGCACAUGCGAUUGUAUAUACACUUCCACGACCUCUCUUUCAUAGCAGAGAAACGUUGAUUGUCCUCUCGUUUUCUCGCGUGAUACCGGCGAAGAAGCUAUGACAUAAGUGAAAUUACAAACACACGUGCUGCUCCCGGUACUUUCUGAACAGCCUGUUGAGAUGCUAUCGCACCAGCUGCCGCGAUUAUCCAUUACGGACGUAAUCAUAAAAUAAUGAGGAUGAUUCUUCUUAGGAUCCUUAUGAAAUAUUAUAUUCACUGGAAGAAAAAAAAAUACGUUGCGGGACUAAUUAGACUCGGAGGACUAGUGGAUCAUUGUGUCAAAACCCAUGAGGGUGGUCUUAAUUGUUACCCUUGGUCACAUGUUUUAUGGAAUUAGCGAAUAUUGCGUUAUUCGUGGAGACAUAAGAAGAUAGAAAUAAUUUUAUUAUAGAUGAAUCUUUGAAAAUUUCAAGGUCAAUUCCACCCCCUUUCUUUUGAAAUAAAAUUCUAUUUUUUCAAUUAGGAUCUCAACAUUUGAAACGGCACAAAAUGAAAAAGAGAAUUUUAAGUAUAAUAUCUUUGAAAUAUUAAUUUUUCAUUUAUCUCAGAAGUUACAGAAAAAUUAUUAUAAAGUAGAAGGGUGGUUUGUCUUCUCUGGAUGGUUACCAGAAAGAAAAUAAUCUCUCGUUUUCCCAACGAGCAUGAUAUUUUCUACGUAAUACACGGUAACAAUUCUGCUCAUUUCUCAGGAACGUAAAAUGUUACGUCUUCGAAUGCUAAUUCAUCCUAUCUUCGUCGAGUACAGUAAUACAUCUUACGUUAUUAAUCUGUAACCACGGCUUUCACCUUAGCGAACCAGCUCGAAUAAUCUAACGUAGAAAGAAAGAAAGAAAGAAAGAAAAAAUGAAUUUAGUUUGGCGGCGUGGAAACCGGAACUCGGAAGCGUGUUUUGUGGAUUUUAUAGGUUCUGGCGUGCGUGACGUUGAAGAGGCACACUAUGGAGAAGUGUGUUUCUUCUAUCGUGAGAUACAACGCAAUGUCGACCAUGGGAACUACCUUUUCUUUAUGUUUAAUUAAUCACAGUCAUAAUUAUAUUGUUCCGACGAUGUUAUAUUGUUUUAGCGUUUAAAACCGUUGUUUACGUCACCACUGGUGGUGUCACGAAAAUAGGUCAACAAUUAAACAAAAAAUGAACUUAAAUUACUAAAUCUUUGACACGUUCGCUACUUUAUUGGACGAUGCUUUUUUCUAUAGAAAUUCAUUAUACAAAAAUUAUAGCUUCCGAAUGAUUGGAAAUACGAGAAACUCAUUAUUCUGUUAAUUUUCGAUCAAUUCCUCGAGCAUUUACGUACGAAUAGGUCUGCUGUAAUGAGAGGAAAUCGUACUGCAUGCUUCGAAGUCGAUAUUGCCCUAAUUAUAAAUCGGAACUUCCGGUGGACACGAUCUUCCGCUUUAAUAAAUCCCUUUUCGGUGUUUCGAAGGAAGUAAUUUUCAUCCACUCUAUACUUUGAAAUAAUGCCAAUGAAUUAAUUUGAAUCAGAAAAAAGGAAACAAGGGUUGGUUAAUGGAUUUGAAAACUGAUUUACUCUGAUAUCGUAUAUUCUUAUAAUUCAACGAUACAUUUUUUAAAUUUUCCUACGCGUUUGAUGUUAUUAAUAUCAAUGAUGUUUGGAAAUUCCAAAAAAAUAAGAUUCUUUGUGCGUUUCGUGAUUGAGGAACAUGCCGCAUUCGUCACCGCUACGUACUUACUCAUUAUCUUAUCAAUUUCAUCAUGUACAACAUUCUCACGAUAUAUACACGUAAGAUUCGUAGUAUAAAUAUCAAUCUAAUGAAUCAAAGUUCAAUGAAACCGGAAUUAAUAACAAACGAUAAAAAAAGAGUCGAUAGAUUCAACGAAACAAUGAUUCAUUCAUAAAUUAUAAAGAAAAAGAAAAUUGAAUCAUUCUUUUCGUAUAAUCAGUAAGAAUAUUUAAAUCCACUACGAUUGUACUUAUCAAUUAUUAUCACCGUCCAAAUCAUAUAUCACCUCGGCUUACUAACAUCAACGUAAAUAACGCGCGAAACUGCCGAUACAAAUUAAAAUCCUUAUCCUAGAUUACUUAAAAAGUAAAAAAAGAAAAGAUAUUUAAGUGAUAACCAGUCGAGUUAUUGCUUACACGGUAUUACUUAUCGCUAAUUCUUAAUAUCUCCUUAAAUCCCCCGCUGUCAUAUGUACACAGAUAAUAGAAACGACAACGAUAGGAAUCAAUCAAUGAUCGAUCGAAUCGAAAAAACUUAUACGUACGUAAGUGGGUCGAAUUAUCCGAAUAAUCUCCUCUGUCAAGAAUCACUUAUGUUCGUAUUCCUUUUUCUAUUCUUUCUUUUUUUUUUUUUUUUUUUUUUUAUAAAAACGGACCAAGAAUACGACAAACGGUACACAUCACCCGUAACGCCGAAGUUCUUUUAUUCUCUACCGUGUUCACUGACCGGGGAUAUACCAGGGAGCCGGUAAACAACAACAAUAUACACCGGUGCAUUCGCGGAUGACGAUGGUGAAGAGAGAAGGGUCGCGUCGCGAACGAAACGUAGGACGAUACUGAGGUACCGUCCGUUAGGCAUGCAAACCUCAUACCGCGCAAGGAUCUCGAUCCCUCGCUUCUUUGUCCAUCGACUGUCACGGUUUAGCUAUCUCUAUUCCUCUCUUCCAUUCACCUUUCCAACUGUAUUAAACGAUCUCUGUUACUCUCACAGAUCGUUCACUACCUCGCUUCCUCGUUAAGAGUUGAUCCUCCCUCUGGUGUUAACCCGUUCCUCUUCGUCCCCUAACCCCUGUUACCCGCUUGCAUUGCCCUCUGUCAGGAUACGCCGGGCGAACCUAGCGCAGGCGCUAUACGAGCUGCUUACCUUUUACCAUCCUCAGACCCCAUCUACACCCACCCAUUCUCACCUUCCUCUCUUCCUCUCUGCUUCCUAUUUCUGUCCUCCUCUACGUCGUUCCCUUGUAACCCUCGCGCUACCUGGUCAUCUUCUUCCUAUGUGACCCGAUGCUAUCUGCAAUGCUUUCUCUUCUCUUCAGUACCGAGACACCAUUUUUUUUUUCUUUUUUUUUUUUCAACCGUCCCAAGAUGGUGUGGGUACUCGUCGAGUAUAAUCUUCCUUUUUAAUUUGCUGUCUUUAAGUUUCUUCAUCUUCGUUUUUACUCCUCGAGACACCUCUUUUUUUCCUGCUUGAUCUUUUCGCGUCAGAGGUAAACGAGACACUUUCUUAUUACACUUCCCUUUUAAUUACCCUUCUAACCUGGACGCUCUCCCGAGUUUUCUAAUUACUCCGCGCGGAUGAAACGAAUUUCCUGUUUGACUUCUUGUCAAAUGUUUUCUAUAAUUUUGUGGGAAGAAUGAAAAAAAUAAAGAAUAAAUAAUAGAAAUUGAUUCGUUCCUUAACGCGUUCGCCGGCGCAGUAGAAAUGACCGUGUUUAGAACGACACGUGAUAAUAUAAGUAGAUCGAGUGCCGCAGGAGAAGCGGACGCUUGUAGUCAGGCAUAAUUAAUUUUUUAAUUAAAAUCUUGUCUAGUAUAAUAGGAACGUUGUCCAAAAUUUUUUCUAUUAUAUUGGAACCGCUGGUUAUUGGAGACACCCUAAUUUUAGGGGCUACUGAGGAACACGACGGCGUACGUUUUUUACACGAAUCUUUUCAAUCUUCUACAGUAUUCCCAAAGAGUGAGGAAAUCGGGGGAGAUUGCGCGUGUUCCUUGCGAAACGGAGCAUAAUGUUAUUCAAGCAUUCGGCUCGAACAUUCUAAAAAAAAAAGAAAUAAAAAUAAAUUUCGAAUCGAAUAAACCGUAUCUAAAAAUUCGCCAAAAGACAAUCGGUGCGCAUGCUGUAAGUUAAAUUGUAUCUUCGCACGUUUCAUGAAAUCACGGUCGCAUACGAAAGGAAAGAGAGAGAGAUAAGAUACAUGU